UUAAAUUUAUACAAGAAUUUCAAUCAAAUUCACAUCUUCACAUUAUCUAACCUUCCCAAGACAAGAUAACACACGAGACCUUCUCAGAGGUCCUCUUCAGUCCCAGUUGUAACGAAUCCACAGGUCAUGCAUGGGCCCCCUGAUGCUUUUCUGUCCCUGAACUAGCAUUUACUUGAAGAUUUUACCCACGUUAUUGGAAGAAAGAGAUGGAGCGUGAUUCUGUCUUUGCUGCAAUCAAAUUUCUUGGCUGGUUCAGGAUAUUUUGCUUCAU